AUUGAACGCUAGCGGGAUGCCUUACACAUGCAAGUCGAACGGAGUGGCGAACGGGUAAGUAAUGUAUCUGAACGUUCCCCGUAGCGGGGGAUAACUACACGAAAUCGUACCUAAUACCGCAUACUAUUGAAGCGGACGAUAUCGGGUUAGCUAGUUGGUGGGUUAACGGCUCACCAAGGCGACGAUCCGUAGCUGGUUGUAGAGGACGACCAGCCACACUGGGACUGAGACACGGCCCAGACUCAUACGGGAGGCAGCAGUGGGGAAUGUUGGACAAUGGGGGAAACCCUGAUGCAGCCAGCCCGCGUGUACGAUGAAGGCCUUCGGGUUGUAAAGCACUUUUAGCGGGAAAGCGGUACCUGCAGAAUAAGCACCGGCUAACUACGUGCCAGCAGCCGCGGUAAUUC
rnacentral:rRNA from 1 species